rnacentral:rRNA from 1 species
CAGUAGCCACGGUAAUACAGAGGGUGCGAGCGUUAAUCGGAUUUACUGGGCGUAAAGCGUGCGUAGGCGGCUAAUUGAGUCGGAUGUGAAAUCCCCGAGCUUAACUUGGGAAUUGCAUUCGAUACUGGUUAGCUAGAGUGUGGGAGAGGAUGGUAGAAUUUCAGGUGUAGCGGUGAAAUGCGUAGAGAUCUGGAGGAAUACCGAUGGCGAAGGCAGCCAUCUGGCCUAACACUGACGCUGAGGUACGAAAGCAUGGGGAGCAAACAGGAUUAGAUACCCCCGUAGUCCCUGUCUCUUAUAA